UACGGAGGGGGCGAGCGUUAUUCGGAAUUAUUGGGCGUAAAGGGCGCGUAGGCGGCUGUACAAGUCAAAGGUGAAAGCCCUCGGCUCAACUGAGGAAGUGCAUCCGAAACUGGCAGGCUAGAGUACUAAAGGGGGUCGCGGAAUUCCCGGUGUAGAGGUGAAAUUCGUAGAUAUCGGGAGGAACACCGGUGGCGAAGGCGGCGACCUGGGUAGAUACUGACGCUGAGGUGCGAAAGCGUGGGGAGCAAACAGG
rnacentral:rRNA from 1 species